rnacentral:rRNA from 1 species
UACAGAGGGGGCAAGCGUUGUUCGGAAUUACUGGGCGUAAAGGGCGCGUAGGCGGCCCGCUAAGUCGAACGUGAAAUCCCCGGGCUCAACCCGGGAACUGCGUCCGAUACUGGUGGGCUUGAAUCCGGGAGAGGGAUGCGGAAUUCCAGGUGUAGCGGUGAAAUGCGUAGAUAUCUGGAGGAACACCGGUGGCGAAGGCGGCAUCCUGGACCGGUAUUGACGCUGAUGCGCGAAAGCCAGGGGAGCAAACGGG